GACUUAAAAUGAUUUACAGUAUUUCCCUGACUCUAUUGCACAAUGCAUCUACGCACACUAGUCCAGUAAAGUACAAUCUAAAAGAAUAAAGUCAGCCUGGCUGGUGAUAAACAGGGGAACCAUUUCCUAAAAAUAAUAAAAUGCUCUGAUUUUCUUAUAGGAAUCAAGAAGAAAAUUGAAGGUCUGAUGGAAGCUGGUCCUUGGUUAGUGAAGUUGCAUUUGCAGAUAAUGGCAUAGAUGGAAGAGGAAACGAAGGAGAAAUGGUUUGUUGGAAUUCAUUCAAACUUUAACAUGCCUGAUCAAAUACUCUGCCCACUUGAGGGAAAGUGACCUUGGAAACAACGUCCUAGGAGAAAUGGCUGCUGCUGACAUACCUGAAGCACUGAGAUCCAGAAAGACAGGUAGAGUGUUUUCAGGCUGUGUGUUUCCCCUCCACCUGCCCACAGCUACUCA
rnacentral:lncRNA from 13 species